CCUGCCCAUAGGUUGGGAACAACUCCGGGAAACCGGAGCUAAUACCGAAUAACAUUUAUUGAACGCAUGUUUAAUAAAUCAAAGAAGGCCUCUCGAAGAAGCUUUUGCCAAUGGAUGGAUCCGCGUCUGAUUAGCUAGUUGGUAAGGUAACGGCUUACCAAGGCGACGAUCAGUAGCCGGCCUGAGAGGGUGAACGGCCACACUGGGACUGAGACACGGCCCAGACUCCUACGGGAGGCAGCAGUGGGGAAUCUUCCGCAAUGGGCGAAAGCCUGACGGAGCAAUGCCGCGUGAAUGAAGAAGGCCUUCGGGUUGCAAAGUUCUGUUGAGAAGGAAGAAAGGUAUUAGAGCUAGUACCUCUAGUAUUUGACGGUACUUUUUGAGGAAGCCCCGGCUAACUACGUGCCAGCAGCCGCGGUAAUACGUAGGGGGCAAGCGUUGUCCGGAAUCACUGGGCGUAAAGCGCAUGUAGGCGGGAUAUUAAGUCAGGUGUGAAAACUAUGGGCUCAACCUGUAGAUUGCAUCUGAAACUGGUAUUCUUGAGUAUUGGAGAGGAAAGUGGAAUUCCUAGUGUAGCGGUGAAAUGCGUAAAUAUUAGGAGGAACACCAGUGGCGAAGGCGACUUUCUG
rnacentral:rRNA from 1 species